AACGAACGCUGGCGGCGCGCCUAAUACAUGCAAGUCGAGCGAGAAGACGUAGCAAUACGUUUGUAAAGCGGCGAACGGGUGAGGGAAUACAUGGGUAACCUACCCUCGAGUGGGGAAUAACUAGGCCGAAAGGUUAGCUAAUACCGCGUACGCUCCUUGGACUUCGGUUCAGGGAGGAAAGCGAUACCGUGGGUAUCGCGCUCUUGGAUGGGGCUCAUGUCCUAUCAGCUUGUUGGUGAGGAACGGCUCACCAAGGCUUCGACGGGUAGCUGGUCUGAGAGGACGAUCAGCCACACUGGCACU
rnacentral:rRNA from 1 species